CACACACACACACACGCAUACGCGCGCGUAUCAGCCCCAUGCACCCAGAGAAACAGUCACACAUGCUCCAGGUGUCCCUCACUCUGCUGCACACCCUACCCACUCUGUACAGACCCGCAUCACACACAUCCACCUGCCGACACACACUCACCCUAUGUGGACAUACCCCAGAAACACACUAUCCCCCCCUACACACAGGACACUCUUCCACAUCGUAUACACACACCUCAGACAUCCGCCCAAGUGUAUACGGUCCACACACUCAGAGAGAUGCAUGUGCAAGCACGCCAGACCCACAUUUACCCACCCACGCACUCCACACAUAAUCCACAGGGACCCUCACAACGUGACAGAUGCCACGCACACACUGCACAGCUCAGGCACUCCAGGCAUGGAUGCCACAGCCCCUAGAGUGCUACACACACUGCCCUGCACAGAGUGACAGCCACACACCCUUAAGAGCAGGUGGAGUCCCCAACACCCCCGUGGGAACCACCCUUCUUCCCAGGACUCCCUACCCAUUAGCUGUACCUACAGGGUCACCACAAGCUGACAAUCAUUCAAAGCUGCCUCCUCUCCCACCCCCUGCCAUGUGAGCCAGACAGGAAGCGCCAUGUUGUGCUAGCCCCUGCCCUGCUCGCCUUCCUGGCUCUUGCUCUUCCCAGGCCCCAUCCGGGUGGGGCUAGCAGAGGCCUUGGCUAGUGGAUGUGUAAUCACCAUCACCAUUUCUAGCCCACUUGACUGUUCACCAACAAUAUCACCACAGCCACUUGCUGUGGCCCGGGGCCAUUUCUGUGGCCUCAUUUGUAGAGAAGGAAACUGAGGUCCAAGAGCACCCAGCUUGUUAUGGCAGCACCAGGACUCCAACCCCAGGGCCCCUCAUCCCAACUUCUAUCCUACACCCAAAUCCCUGCCAGCAGCCAGGAAAGCGGGGCAGCUCCAGCCCAACCCCACUCCCGAAUCUAGGAGGAGUCCAGGAGGAAGCGUCAUAAGGGUUGGGCCUUUUUGGGGCAGCUACCAGAAGGGAGCACCAAGCAGACGCUGCUCCCCUUCCCUCCCAUUCCACCAUCCACUGUCCCCAGCAAGAACCUGCGGGAGGGUGGCCCAAUGGGGAGAAAACUAAGGAUUCGGUGUCGGGACCACUCCUGCCCUGCCCUGCCCUGCCCUGUGACUCCGUCAUACUCUCCAAAGGCCAGACCCUCCUAGACCAGCUGGAACCACCAUCAAGAUGUCCCCAGCCAUGUCAGACUCUGGGGCCCCAAGCGGAGGGCAACCAGAUGUCUUCAGCUCCAAGUCUGGCCUCUCCUCCCAGCAAGCAGCCAACUGCAGAGACCUUGGAAAGGAUCAACCAUAUACAAUGUCCAUUUCCUGCCCUCUAACCUGGCAGGGGAGCAAGGCCCAGCCAAGGAGUUACAGAAACUGAGGCUUGACCAGGCGUGGUGGCUUACACCUGCAAUCUCAGCACUGGGAGGCCAAGGUGGGCAGAUCGCUUGAGCCCAGGAGUUUGAGACCAGCCUGAGCAACAUGGCGAAACCCCAUCUCUACAAAAAAUACAGAAAUUAGCCAAGUGUGGUGGCACGCACGUGUCUGUAGUUUCAGCUACUCAGGAGGCUUAGGUGGGAGGAUCACCUGAGCCUGGGAGGUAGAGGUUGCAAUGAGCAGAGAUUACGCCAUUGCUCUCCAGCCAGGGAGACAGAGUGAGACCCUGUCCCAAAAUAAAUAACUAAAUAAAUAAGAAUAAAAUUUAAAAAAGAAACUGAGGUUCAAAGAGAACAA